rnacentral:rRNA from 1 species
GGACUACCGGGGUAUCUAAUCCUGUUCGCUCCCCACGCUUUCGCGUCUCAGCGUCAGUACCGUCCCAGAGAGCCGCCUUCGCCACGGGUGUUCUUCCCGAUAUCUGCGCAUUUCACCGCUACACCGGGAAUUCCACUCUCCUCUUCCGGACUCUAGCCAGGUGGUUUCCACCGACGUCUCGGGGUUGAGCCCCGAGUUUUCACAGCAGACCUACCAAGCCGCCUACACGCGCUUUACGCCCAAUAAAUCCGGACAACGCUCGCCCCCUACGUAUUACCGCGGCGGCUGGCAC